rnacentral:rRNA from 2 species
ACGGGUGAGUAACACGUGGGCAAUCUGCCCUGCACUCUGGGACAAGCCCUGGAAACGGGGUCUAAUACCGGAUAUGACCUUCCUCCGCAUGGGGGUGGGUGUAAAGCUCCGGCGGUGCAGGAUGAGCCCGCGGCCUAUCAGCUUGUUGGUGGGGUAAUGGCCUACCAAGGCGACGACGGGUAGCCGGCCUGAGAGGGCGACCGGCCACACUGGGACUGAGACACGGCCCAGACUCCUACGGGAGGCAGCAGUGGGGAAUAUUGCACAAUGGGCGAAAGCCUGAUGCAGCGACGCCGCGUGAGGGAUGACGGCCUUCGGGUUGUAAACCUCUUUCAGCAGGGAAGAAGCGCAAGUGACGGUACCUGCAGAAGAAGCACCGGCUAACUACGUGCCAGCAGCCGCGGUAAUACGUAGGGUGCGAGCGUUGUCCGGAAUUAUUGGGCGUAAAGAGCUCGUAGGCGGCCUGUCGCGUCGGAUGUGAAAGCCCGGGGCUUAACCCCGGGUCUGCAUUCGAUACGGGCAGGCUAGAGUGUGGUAGGGGAGAUCGGAAUUCCUGGUGUAGCGGUGAAAUGCGCAGA